CAAUGGCAAACAUGCUUUUCAAAAAGUGAUAUCACCUAAAUUAAUAGGAUGCCCUUUUGAUUGUCUCAAUAAGACAAGUCUGUUUAACUUCACAGAGACUUAACCCAUAUCUAUUCAAACAUUUCCAAAUGGCUCUCUCUCUCUCUUUAAAAUGGUUCUCUCUCAGUAGCCCUAAUUACGGAGCUGUGGAUGCAACCAGCAAUGAAGACUUCUUGGAGUUUACAGAUCUACAGAGAGAUUGAUGCUUCUAAUCUCAACGAUUUCUUGUUCAAUCUGGAUCUCAAUUUCGAUUUGUGCACUAGGGCUUAGGAUUUAAUAUUUUCCUUCGAGAUUUUUCGAUUUCCCUUCGAGAUUUUUUGAUUUCCCUUAAUCUUUACCAAUCUAGGUCUUCAUUUUUCAUGGAUUCAGGUAUCCAAUCGCUUGUGAUUUGGAGUUGCUAAGUUCACUUGAGAUACAGAGCUUUCAUGGGCUUGUUAUUCAUUGAGUCUGAUCUAGACUUGUUGUGAGUGAACUCAAGAUUCAGAGGUUUUCAUCACUACACAGACUUGGAUAUUUCACAAGAUUCAAUACUGCAGAAUGUAGAUAAGCAGACAGUUCAUAGUCUCAAUGGAUGCAGAGUGACUGAUCAAAUUUGCGUUUGGUCCGAAAUAUUCAGAGCUUUCGUAUUACACUGAGACGUAUGAGACUCUGGGCAAAGCGACGUGGGGUUUAUUCAAAUGUUUUGGGGUUUCUUGGUGGUAUCAAUUGGGCGUUACUUGUUGCUCGUAUAUGCCAACUUUACCCAAAUGCACUACCUAAUAUGUUGGUCUCAAGGUUCUUCAAGGUCUAUAACCUUUGGCGGUGGCCAAAUCCUGUCAUGUUAUGGCCUAUUCAGGAUGGUUCUCUGGGACUUCCUGUUUGGGAUCCCAGGAGAAAUUUCAGGGAUAGGCAGCACCUGAUGCCAAUCAUAACUCCUGCAUAUCCCUUCAUGAACUCUAGUUACAAUGUGUUGACAAGCACAUUGCGUGUGAUGAUGGAAGAGUUUCAGCGAGGCAAUGAGAUUUGUGAGAAUGAACAGUGGGAGAUUAAGCCAAUGGUUACAAAUACUAGUUUGUGUAGUGCUCUUGCUGAAAACAGAAGGAUUCAAUGUUAGAAUAACUUAUGUUGAGAAUGCUGUUGCAAAAGGAGUAGUCUGUUUGGAUGGGAGUCCACCGGCAUACCAUCAUGAUAACGGAUUUGGAACGGGAAUUAACAGUUGGUUGGUUCAUAUUGAGACAAUGGCAUGGAUCAAAAUUUCAUGGCUAGUCACCCGCUGUGGUGACUGGUAAACCUAUUCUAAGUAAACAUAGACUGGUUUGUAAUUGGCAUUACUUUUUGAUUUUUUUUUUCUCAUGGUUGCUGAUGCUUUUGCUCUAUGUUAUAUUAAUGGAUGUUUGAUGAAACCAAACUUUCAAAGUUACACAUAUUGUGAAUACAAUGUAUAAAUAAAAAAGUUUUCAUUAUACAUGCACUUGGAAAUUUCAUAAUUUCUUAUCUUUCUAGCCUUCUUGACAUGGUUUGCAAGAGUAUGUAGAUUUUCCAACCAUUCAAGUUUAUUGAAGUUGUGUUAAUGGAAUUGGAUGAUUCAGGUAUAUAAUCAUUAUUUUGGUGAAGAUGAUGAUGACUUGAUGAAGCUGACGAGAGAGCUAUGGAUGAAGUUAUUUUUAGAGAAUUUGGACAGCACACUGAAUAUUAUUAUUAUUUUGUAUUGUCAUAUUAUGUUUUAAGGAGUUUAAUUAAUUCAUUUAUUUUAUGAAAAUUUGAAAAAUAA